AUUGAACGCUGGCGGCAUGCCUUACACAUGCAAGUCGAACGGCAGCACGGGAGCAAUCCUGGUGGCGAGUGGCGAACGGGUGAGUAAUAUAUCGGAACGUGCCCAGUCGUGGGGAUAACGUAGCGAAAGCUACGCUAAUACCGCAUACGAUCUAUGGAUGAAAGCGGGGGAUCGCAAGACCUCGCGCGAUUGGAGCGGCCGAUAUCAGAUUAGGUAGUUGGUGAGGUAAAGGCUCACCAAGCCGACGAUCUGUAGCUGGUCUGAGAGGACGACCAGCCACACUGGGACUGAGACACGGCCCAGACUCCUACGGAGGCAGCAGUGGGGAAUUUUGGGACAAUGGGCGCAAGCCUGAUCCAGCAAUGCCGCGUGCAGGAUGAAGGCCUUC
rnacentral:rRNA from 1 species